AAUAAGUGACAGCAAAAUGACAACACGUUACCUUCAUUUGGCUAUCUGGGUCGAUACUUAAUUCCAAGGAACGUGGUUCGCGGAGACAAUCACGGGAUUCGUGUACGAUUCCAACUCUCAAGGAUAUUUAUCACUGUUGAGUGUAUGUACAUUUGUAAUUUUCUUGUACAUGAAGAGCCAUCUGUAUUGCGUUUGGAGGGACUGUGAGUUACGAUUGAUGUGCGUGCGUUUUUUCUUCUAUUAUGUUCUUUUUCGUGUCUUUGGGCGGAAUUCAUAGACGUUUCUUGAAACUCAAGAUGGGCUUAAGCUCGUUCUUAAGACCACGAUCGAUUCAUGGUUCUUGCUUAAGAACGAUUUUUAAGUUCAAGCUUGAGCUCAGUCUUAAGUAAGCAAAUAACGUUACAUAGAUAAAUCUUAAGACCGAAUUGAGAUUAUUUGAUACACAAUUCUUACUUAAGACUUGUCUUGAGAUCAUCUUUGUCAAGUUCACUGAAUUGUCGACUUGAGUCUUGACAUACAGGUUAUGUUCUAUGCAAUAUUGCGAGUAGACCAUUCCGCAUGGUGUAUAUCAACCAUUAACCAAAAAGAAAAAGACGAAGUUUGCAAAAUAAGUUAAAGCAAAUUGAAAUUGUCUGCCACCAGUUAAAAAAUUGUCAUAUAAAAAAUUGAUAAUAAAAAAUUAAGUUAUUACAAACAAUUGGGCAUUGAAUAAACUACUUAGAAGAAAAAAAGAUUAAUGAACAUCAUGGAAUUAAAUUUAUAUGGCAUAUUUGAUAUUAAUUUAUUGAGUAAUUCUGAAGAAUCCUCUUCAGAUGAAGAAUAUAAUAAUAUUGGCAUAAUACGGGAGAAACGAUACGUACGAGAUGCAAUUAAUCCAUUUACUGCUUAUCAUGAACGUGAAUUCCACAUAAGAUACAGAUUUUCUAAAGAGUCUGUUAUGUAUGGACUACUACCUUUAGUUGUGGACAGUUUAACAAAACCUAAUAUGAGGUCUUCCAAUCGAACCAGUUAUUCAACUGCUGAUUUGUCUGAGAUAUUAUGCUACUGCUAGUUUUCAAAAAGUAAGUGGAGAUCUCAUGAACUUACCACAACCUACAAUUAGCAGGAUUAUAUUUAAAGUAACUACUAUAUUAGCAACUUAUCUAAAUACUUAUGUCAAAUUUCCAACAAAUGAAGCAGCCAUAGAAGAAAAUAAAAAUCUAUUUAAAGAAUUAGGCUAUGGAUAUGGAGCUAUUGGACUUCCUAACAUUAGUGGGGCAAUAGAUUGCACCCACGUAAGAUUAGCGAGUAAUUACUUUGGAGGAAUAGGUGAAAUGUAUAGAAAUAGAAAAGGAUAUUUUUCUUUAAAUGUCCAAGUAAGUUAAUAAAUGUAAUGUUAUUUACAUACAUUUAGCUUUGUUGUUAUUUUUGUUUUGUUUUUAUUGUGUUUUGUAUGUUGUUACGUCCGGCUGAGAUUUUUGAGCCGGCCGUCACGAUCCAGGCAAGGAUCGCGGCCUGCGAUGACGCGUUGCCAGGACAACGCGCACGCCGGCAGAUUCACGCGCUCUCGGUGCCGGGCCCGAGCGAUCACGCGCUGCGAACGUGCGGGCCACUCGAUCGGCACGUACAAUCUAAUUAAAAGAUAUAACUUUUGAUGAACCGCGCUAAAGAUCGUUAAGACACGAAAAGGGGAGUAAUCCUCCCCCUAGCCAGCUUUCCCCUGAGGCGCCUCAAACCUGUGCAUUUAGUAGAAAUCGCGUAAAUCGGUCAAUUAACGGGACAAGGUAAUUAACCCACUAAAAAAGAAACUGGCGAACGCUCCCGCUGGCGCCGACGUAGCCAUGCCUACGCGGGACCGUUCGGGGUUGGAUAUUGGGGACCCAACGCCCUUAAUUGAUUGAUAAGCGAAUUAAGGGGAUGCUGGAGUUGUCUGUUUUACCAACAAAAAGAUAGUAAUUUUUGUUUAACAAUAUCUUUUUAUUUCUUUUAUAGAUUUGGAAAUCCUUCUCCAGAAUAAAAGAAUACGCAUUGCUAUCAGUCUGUGGAGUGGAAUUUCCUCCAAAAACG
rnacentral:lncRNA from 1 species